rnacentral:snRNA from 1 species
ACCGUUGCGGAGCAAGUUUAUUU